UCACCACCUAGCAGCCCGUUGUACGAUUGUUUUUCCCACGGUUGAGCACCGUCCACAGAAGCUAAAUGGAGCAGUCAUGAAAGAGCAUCAAAACAUUUUAAUGCAGGUUUGUUUUCAGUCUUAAAUGUAUAUAUUUCAUUAUCGUAGUGUGUUACCUGUCUUCCCCUGAGCAUCGCUGUUGAAUUCUUCGUCAGUUAAUGGUUCUCCGGCUUCAAACGCGACUUCGUUCUAAUUUUCACGCAACAUUUAAGUGGUUACCAUUUUCUGCCCAGACAGGAUUAGCUCCAAUAGAAUUGGUCCAGAAGCAAAUCAUCGCUAUAGUUAAGAAGGAAAGCAGGCAGUAGGGGUCCAGUUGGUUCGCCAUUUCGAUUCAAGCUUAAAGAAGAGCAACUCACCGCUUAGCCACCGAAUUGGAGAGCAAAGGAACGAUUGGAAACAUACAUGAUCAUGGUCUUUUUUUUUAUAGAGAUGGUGUUGGAACAGUUGGUGGGACGUGUCAAUACUGGAAAUGUCAACGGCUUGUUAUAGGUGGUUUUGAUUCGGAUGAUGUGCAGUUCAAGGGGUGUACGGCGGAUGUGUGCACUCGCAUAUUGAUGCAACUGUGCCCACAAUUAAUAAAGGUUAGAGGUGUUGCUCAUCUUUCCGAAUUAGUCGGUAUGCCGGAUACUGCGAUUGCAGAUAUUCACUUACAUGUUUCCGGGCCAUUUACUCUAAUGAAAUCGGCAGUUUCAAGAGAACUCAACGCAUCAUAUCUCUUCCAAUGAAAAAAUUGCCAUGCAAAUUGAUGGUGAAACAGGCGGAAGAAAGAAUCUGUCACGGUCGUCAGAAUAAGCGAAGAGUUGUUGCCGAAUUCCAAUGUAUUGUGUGCUACACUCCAGUUAGGUCGAAUGACAACUUGGAUGAUUCACUUUGAAUCAACCUGAUGCAUCCACCAAUUCCGACUGAGAAAUAACUGCACACGCUUUUCUCGUAGCGCAGACUUGUUUAAAAUUCAUUCCUGGUUAAUUUUACAACCAGGAUGUGACAGUCUGUUUCUAUGGCUACGGUUUGUCGAAUUCCGCCACGUUCGAGAAGGGACGUGACGGUAAUGCUGCUGAUCGAAAAUUAGUAUUUGCAACUAUAUUCUCUUGUCAGUUUAUUGACGACAUCGUUGCCAUUCAGAAACUUUGGGGAAUCCAAAGGCUGUUUGUAAUGCACAUCACAAACUAGGCACGCGCUUCAUUUACUUGGUAAGCUACACACGUCGUUCUUGCUGAUUCUAUUUAGGUCUUUGGCCAUCAGUGGAUCAUCAAGACAGACAAAUCGUUAAAGGAGAAUUCAACAGGGAAUUCCCGCAGCAAAAGAUUGCGGAAGUAGUCUGAAUAUAUCGGUUGACUCCACGUCGUUGGAAACGCAUCCAGAGAUUGGGAUUUUACUUUAUAUUGAAUAUCUGUUAAUGUAGCAGAUCAAUUGAAUUUGAACCUCCCGAAAGUUUGUGCAUGCAUAAAGUCACAGACUUGUCUACAAUGAUUUAAGUUGCAACGUCAUUGUCCACCAGCCGAAGCGUCGCCCUUUUAGCCGGAAUAGCAACUGUACAGCUUGUUAAUUUUCUGGACGUCCAACUGUAUAUGUGUACAUUAUAACAUUGAGAAAGCAUAAUUGUGAAGGUAAAAAAAUUAAUAGGUAAAUGCUAGUAAGAAUAGCCUAACAAACCUGAGUGAAUCCCUUCAAAUUUCCCAAAUUCAAUUCGCCGUUUCUGGCCAUCAUAGUUGGAAUGGAUGGAUUAUUGGCCAUGAACGAACUCGGGUAAUGCAUGACAGAUUCUUUUCGUAUAAAAAACGGUUACUACAAUGACCCGAACUAAUUUUGAAUAAGAAUUUGUGCAAACUUACUAAUAUCGUACGGCAGGCCCAAAGUGUUGACCUCGGUCGUUUUCAUCGCGUUGAAGAAUUGGCGAUUGUCUGUUUACAAAUUUCCAAUUAUCAACAAUUUAAACAUUUACCUACUAUUGCUGAUCAGGACGUUGGUGUUCGUGUUGGAAACCAAUGGCGUGCAUCAAUUCGUGCAUGACAGAUCCAGGAUAAUUAUAACUGACGCAAUAAUCAGGUAGACUAACAUCUUGUGGACCAUUGCCGUUCAUACCCACAAGGUGGAAUACUUACCCGACAUUGAGAUCUCGCCGGAUGUAGAUGUAAUUAGCUUGAGUAGUCCGUGGAACGAAACGAAUGCAAGUUUUCGAAUGAAAUUCACUGAUUGCGUAGCCAAGAACUCG